rnacentral:rRNA from 1 species
AGCUCCAAUAGCGUAUAUUAAAGUUGUUGCAGUUAAAAAGCUCGUAGUUGGAUUUCUGGUGGAAGAGUUUGGCCGGCUCAAUGAGUUUGCGCCUAUAUUCUUUCGCCAUCCUUGGGGAAAACUUGCUUGGCAUUAAGUUGUCGAGUUUGGGAUCCCCAUCGUUUACUGUGAAAAAAUUAGAGUGUUCAAAGCAGGCUUAUGCCGUUGAAUACAUUAGCAUGGAAUAAUAAGAUAGGACCUUGGUACUAUUUUGUUGGUUUGCGUACCUAGGUAAUGAUUAAUAGGGACAGUUGGGGGUAUUCGUAUUCAAUUGUCAGAGGUGAAAUUCUUGGAUUUAUGGAAGACGAACUACUGCGAAAGCAUUUACCAAGGAUGUUUUCAUUA